rnacentral:rRNA from 1 species
AACGUAGGAGGCAAGCGUUAUCCGGAUUUACUGGGCGUAAAGCGCGUGCAGGCGGCUUGGCAAGUUGGAUGUGAAAGCUCCCGGCUCAACUGGGAGAGGUCGUUCAAUACUGCUAAGCUAGAGGGUGGUAGAGGGAGGUGGAAUUCCGGGUGUAGUGGUGAAAUGCGUAGAUAUCCGGAGGAACACCAGUGGCGAAAGCGGCCUUCUGGACCAUGCCUGACGCUCAGACGCGAAAGCUAGGGUAGCAAACGGG